rnacentral:rRNA from 1 species
GACAGCAGUCGCCGCGGUAAUACAGAGGGUGCGAGCGUUAAUCGGAUUUACUGGGCGUAAAGCGUGCGUAGGCGGCUAAUUGAGUCGGAUGUGAAAUCCCCGAGCUUAACUUGGGAAUUGCAUUCGAUACUGGUUAGCUAGAGUGUGGGAGAGGAUUGUAGAAUUCCAGGUGUAGCGGUGAAAUGCGUAGAGAUCUGGAGGAAUACCGAUGGCGAAGGCAGCCAUCUGGCCUAACACUGACGCUGAGGUACGAAAGCAUGGGGAGCAAACAGGAUUAGAUACCCCGGUAGUCCCUGUCUCUUAUAC